UGAGCUCCUUCGGGAGUGGAUUAGCGGCGGACGGGUGAGUAACACGUGGGUAACCUGCCUCAUAGAGGGGAAUAGCCUUUCGAAAGGAAGAUUAAUACCGCAUAAGAUUGUAGUACCGCAUGGUACAGCAAUUAAAGGAGUAAUCCGCUAUGAGAUGGACCCGCGUCGCAUUAGCUAGUUGGUGAGGUAACGGCUCACCAAGGCGACGAUGCGUAGCCGACCUGAGAGGGUGAUCGGCCACAUUGGGACUGAGACCCGGCCCAAACUCCUACGGGAGGCAGCAGUGGGGAAUAUUGCACAAUGGGGGAAACCCUGAUGCAGCAACGCCACGUGAGUGAUGACGGUCUUCGGAUUGUAAAGCUCUGUCUUUAGGGACGAUAAUGACGGUACCUAAGGAGGAAGCCACGGCUAACUACGUGCCAGCAGCCGCGGUAAUACGUAGGUGGCAAGCGUUGUCCGGAUUUACUGGGCGUAAAGGGAGCGUAGGUGGAUAUUUAAGUGGGAUGUGAAAUACCCGGGCUUAACCUGGGUGCUGCAUUCCAAACUGGAUAUCUAGAGUGCAGGAUAGGAAAGGAGAAUUCCUAGUGUAGCGGUGAAAUGCGUAGAGAUUAGAGAAGAAUACCAGUGGCGAAAGGCGCCUUUCUGGACUGUAACUGACACUGAGGCUCGAAAGCGUGAGGAGCAAACAGGAUUAGAUACCCUGGUAGUCCACGCCGUAACGAUGAAUACUACGUGUAGGGGUUUGUCAUGACCUCUGUGCCGCGCUAACGCAUGUAAGU
rnacentral:rRNA from 1 species